rnacentral:miRNA from 1 species
CGAGAGCCUCCCUGCGUUCACA